rnacentral:rRNA from 1 species
UACGUAGGCAGCAAGCGUUGUUCGGAGUUACUGGGCGUAAAGGCGUCGUAGCGGCCAACUAAGUCGGACGUGAAAUCCCUCGGCUCAACCGGGGAACUGCGUCCGAUACUGGAUGGCUCGAGUUCGGGAGAGGGAUGCGGAAUUCCAGGUGUAGCGUGAAAUGCGUAGAUAUCUGGAGGAACACCGGUGGCGAAGGCGGCAUCCUGGACCGACACUGACGCUGAGGAGCGAAAGCCAGGGGAGCAAACGGG